AGCAGUAGCCGCGGUAAAACGGAGGGAGCUAGCGUUGUUCGGAAUUACUGGGCGUAAAGCGCGCGUAGGCGGUUAUUUAAGUCAGGGGUGAAAGCCCGGUGCUCAACACCGGAACAGCCCUUGAGACUGGAUAACUUGAAUCCAGGAGAGGUGAGUGGAAUUCCGAGUGUAGAGGUGAAAUUCGUAGAUAUUCGGAAGAACACCAGUGGCGAAGGCGGCUCACUGGACUGGUAUUGACGCUGAGGUGCGAAAGCGUGGGGAGCAAACAGGAUUAGAUACCCCCGUAGUCCCUGUCUCUUAUAC
rnacentral:rRNA from 1 species